rnacentral:rRNA from 1 species
UACGUAGGGUGCAAGCGUUGUCCGGAAUUAUUGGGCGUAAAGAGCUCGUAGGCGGUCUGUCGCGUCUGCUGUGAAAACUCAGGGCUUAACCCUGAUCUUGCAGUGGGUACGGGCAGACUAGAGUGCGGUAGGGGAGACUGGAAUUCCUGGUGUAGCGGUGAAAUGCGCAGAUAUCAGGAGGAACACCGGUGGCGAAGGCGGGUCUCUGGGCAACAACUGACGCUGAGGAGCGAAAGCGUGGGGAGCGAACGGG